ACCAGUGGCGGAGCCAGGAUUAUAUUGGAGCCUGGGCACAAUUUUAACGCAAUUUUUUUUGGCUAGCAUGAGUCGAAUAAGAAAAAACCAGCAAAACAUGAGUCAUAAUAUAAAUGAGUCACAUAUGAAUUAAAGCCAAAAAAUGACACCAUUAAGACCUCCUAUUAUACAAUCAGGUCAUUUUCCGCGUCUCUGAAAUUAAAUGAUGCAAAAUUAAGAUAUUAAAUGACAGCAUUAAGACAUCAUAUUAUA
rnacentral:lncRNA from 1 species